rnacentral:lncRNA from 1 species
UUAUUUAAUCAGGCCCCAGAGGCAAGUCUGGGGUAUACAGGCAGGUGGGAUUCCUCCCCGGGAGGUCAUACCUGACCUUUCUGGGGUAAGAGGGAGGCUGGGGCGGGGAUGUUGGGGAAGCGGCCUGGGAGACGGCUGUCAGGGUUGCAGCAGGGACGCUCUGGGAUGAGCUGGGGGCAGGCGGUCCCUUUGGGAGGUGAGACAAUGGCCCUGUGUGGUACACUCCCUGCCCCCCACCCCCCACGGGCCGCUUGGUCUGGCACAAAGGACACACUGUGAGGCUGGGUCCUCCAGCUGGUGGGGGUGGCAUGGAGUGGGGCCUAAGGAACAGCUAUUAGGUCCAGAGUGGCAGUCGGGGGAGGUGGUCAGUUUGGCAGGGCCUCUGGGAGCAUAAAAGUCCCAGAGCAAGCCUGGCCUUCCCUGUCCUCCCUCCCAUGUCUGUCCUGCAGAGGUGGGGAGGGGUUUAGGGGCAACAUGACUUCUCCCCUCUCCGGUCUGGUAGGAACCAGCUGUUAGGUGAGGGGCCGGCUCUGCACCUAGGUGGGGCCCUGGGACCGUGCCCCAGCCCCUCACACCUUGACCUCAUCAUCCUCCUCAGCAUCCGCAAAUUCAAAGGUGUUUGCUUGCACUGUGCUGGGCACUGGGGUCCUGCUGCCUGCCUGGGGCGCCCUCCACUCUUCGUCCAGGCUCUCCCAGGAGGACCCGUGGGGUUUGCAGUAGGGGCUGGGGGGUUUGCAGCGGGGGCUGGAGUCUCAGCUGCAGGGGCUUCUGGGAGGCUCAUGACCCCUAGCAGCUCGCUGAGGAGUGAGGGCCCAAGGUCGAGGUCCAGGCGGAAGGACAAGAGAGAGUCAGAGCGGCGAAGCCCGGGCUCAGAGGGGAAGGAACCAUCCCGGUCUCGGUCAUGCGGCUUUUCCGAGCGGGGCAGGCGGGAGAUGGUGCAGAACCCAGAGUCCAG